GACGAACGCUGGCGGCGUGCUUAACACAUGCAAGUCGAACGAAGUGGCGAACGGGUGAGUAACGCGUAAUCCACCUGCCCUUCAGGGGGGGCCAACAGUUGGAAACGACUGCUAAUACCGCAUACUGAAGGAGGGGUUUUGGUCGGAUUCGCUAGUUGGAGGGGUAACGGCCCACCAAGGCGAUGACCAGUAGCCGGCCUGAGAGGAGGAACGGCCACAUUGGGACUGGGACCCGGCCCAGACUCCUACGGGAGGCAGCAGUGGGGAAUCUUCCGCAAUGGACGAAAGUCAGACGGAGCAACGCCGCGUGAGUGAUGACGGCCUUCGGGUUGUAAAGCUCUGGUAAUCGGGAGGCGGUACCGGAAUAGAAAGCCACGGCUAACUACGUGCCAGCCGCCGCGGUAAUUC
rnacentral:rRNA from 1 species